rnacentral:rRNA from 1 species
GGGGAGUACGGCCGCAAGGUUAAAACUCAAAUGAAUUGACGGGGGCCCGCACAAGCGGUGGAGCAUGUGGUUUAAUUCGAUGCAACGCGAAGAACCUUACCUGGUCUUGACAUCCACAGAACUUUCCAGAGAUGGAUUGGUGCCUUCGGGAACUGUGAGACAGGUGCUGCAUGGCUGUCGUCAGCUCGUGUUGUGAAAUGUUGGGUUAAGUCCCGCAACGAGCGCAACCCUUAUCCUUUGUUGCCAGCGGUCCGGCCGGGAACUCAAAGGAGACUGCCAGUGAUAAACUGGAGGAAGGUGGGGAUGACGUCAAGUCAUCAUGGCCCUUACGACCAGGGCUACACACGUGCUACAAUGGCGCAUACAAAGAGAAGCGACCUCGCGAGAGCAAGCGGACCUCAUAAAGUGCGUCGUAGUCCGGAUUGGAGUCUGCAACUCGACUCCAUGAAGUCGGAAUCGCUAGUAAUCGUGGAUCAGAAUGCCACGGUGAAUACGUUCCCGGGCCUUGUACACACC